GCAUGGUCUUGUUAUUAAAGAAUUUCGGUUAUCGAUGGGGAUGCGUUCCAUUAGGCAGUUGGUGAGGUAACGGCUCACCAAACCUUCGAUGGAUAGGGGUUCUGAGAGGAAGGUCCCCCACAUUGGAACUGAGACACGGUCCAAACUCCUACGGGAGGCAGCAGUGAGGAAUAUUGGUCAAUGGGCGCAGGCCUGAACCAGCCAAGUAGCGUGAAGGAUGACUGCCCUAUGGGUUGUAAACUUCUUUUAUAUGGGAGUAAAGUUUUCCACGUGUGGAAUUUUGUAUGUACCAUAUGAAUAAGGAUCGGCUAACUCCGUGCCAGCAGCCGCGGUAAUACGGAGGAUCCGAGCGUUAUCCGGAUUUAUUGGGUUUAAAGGGAGCGUAGGUGGACAGUUAAGUCAGUUGUGAAAGUUUGCGGCUCAACCGUAAAAUUGCAGUUGAUACUGGCUGUCUUGAGUACAGUAGAGGUGGGCGGAAUUCGUGGUGUAGCGGUGAAAUGCUUAGAUAUCACGAAGAACUCCGAUUGCGAAGGCAGCUCACUGGACUGCAACUGACACUGAUGCUCGAAAGUGUGGGUAUCAAACAGGAUUAGAUACCCUGGUAGUCCACACAGUAAACGAUGAAUACUCGCUGUUUGCGAUAUACAGUAAGCGGCC
rnacentral:rRNA from 1 species